UUAAGCAAAGAAGAGCGCAGGGUGGAUGCCUUGGCACUAAGAGCCGAAGAAAGACGUGAUAAGCUGCGAAAAGCUGCGGGGAGAUGCAAAUAAUCCUUGAUCCGCAGAUGUCUGAAUGGGGAAACCCGGUACGAAGAACUCGUAUCAUCCAUACGCCAAUCCAUAACGUAUGGAGGGGAACCCGGUGAACUGAAACAUCUAAGUAGCCGGAGGAAGAGAAAGAAACAUCGAUUUUGUUAGUAGCGGCGAGCGAAAGCGAAAGAGGCCAAACCGGAGUGCGUGCACUCCGGGGUUCGGACCGCAUUUAAGAUUCAGUGAUUCUAGCAGAAAGGUUUGGGAAAGCCUGCCGGAGAGGGUGAAAGCCCCGUAAGCGAAAGAAGAGCUGACUGAGCGGGAUCCAGAGUACAUCGAGACACGAGAAACCUUGAUGGAAUGAGCGGGGACCACCCCGUAAGCCUAAAUACUACUUAGUGACCGAUAGCGCAUAGUACUGUGAAGGAAAGGUGAAAAGGACCCCGGGAGGGGAGUGAAAGAGAACCUGAAACCCUGUGUUUACAAGCUGUGGAAGUUCUUUAAAUGAACAACCGCGUACUUUUUGUAGAACGGUCCGGCGAGUUGCGGAUACUGGCAAGGUUAAGCACUUAAGGUGCGGAGCCGAAGGGAUACCAAGUCUUAACAGGGCGUUAAGUCAGUAUACGCAGACCCGAAACCGGGUGAUCUAUCCAUGUCCAGGUUGAAGUUGUCGUAAAAGACAAUGGAGGACCGAAGCCACAUCCGUUGAAAAGGGUGGGGAUGAGGUGUGGAUAGGGGAGAAAUUCCAAUCGAACCCGGAGAUAGCUGGUUCUCCUCGAAAUAGCUUUAGGGCUAGCCUCGAUUUAGUCUUAUGGAGGUAGAGCACUGAAUUUCCGCGGGGGCGUCAAAGCUUACCAAAGAAUAUCAAACUCCGAAUGCCAUGUAGAUGAUGAUCGGGAGUCAGACUGCACGAGAUAAGUUGGGCAGUCAAAAGGGAAAGAGCCCAGACCACCGGCUAAGGUCCCAAAGUGCGUGUUAAGUGGAAAAGGAUGUGGGAAUUCGAAGACAACUAGGAUGUUGGCUCAGAAGCAGCCAUACAUUCAAAGAGUGCGUAACAGCUCACUAGUCGAGAGUUCCUGCGCCGAAAAUGUCCGGGGCUGAAACACGACACCGAAGCCGUGGACUCGCAAUGCGAGUGGUAGAGGAGCAUUCUUAAAACCGACGAAGCUGUACCGGAAGGAGCAGUGGAGGGAUAAGAAGAGAGAAUGCCGGAAUGAGUAGCGAGAGAAAGGUGGGAAUCCUUUCGGCCGAAUAUCUAAGGUUUCCAGAGUAAAGCUGAUCUGCUCUGGGUAAGUCGGGGCCUAAGCACAGGUCGCAAGACGUAAGCGAUGGAUAACAGGUUUAGAUUCCUGUACCACGCAUUAUCAGAACUGUAGGGACGCAUGUGGAAAGCACGGGCCGGGAAUGGAAAGACCGGUACAAGCGGGGUAGGUGUACAACAGGCAAAUCCGUUGUAUAAUCCGAAGACGUGAUGUGGAGCGAAAUAAAGUAGCAAAGCGUGUGAGCCAUGUGACGAGAAAAGCUGCUAUUGUGUAAUGCGUGCCCGUACCGUAAACCGACACAGGUGGAUGAGGAGAGAAUCCUAAGGCCGACGGAAGAAGCAUUGUUAAGGAAUUCGGCAAAAUGACCCCGUAACUUCGGGAGAAGGGGUGCCUGCGAGAGCAGGCCGCAGAGAAUAGGCUCAAGCAACUGUUUAGCAAAAACACAGGUCUAUGCGAAACCGAAAGGUGAAGUAUAUGGGCUGACGCCUGCCCGGUGCUGGAAGGUUAAGAGGAGAGGUUAGCGUAAGCGAAGCUUUGAAUUUAAGCCCCAGUAAACGGCGGCCGUAACUAUAACGGUCCUAAGGUAGCGAAAUUCCUUGUCGGGUAAGUUCCGACCCGCACGAAAGGCGUAAUGAUUUGAGCACUGUCUCGACAAUGCAUCCGGUGAAAUUGAAGUACCAGUGAAGAUGCUGGUUACCCGCGCCAGGACGGAAAGACCCCAUGGAGCUUUACUCCAGUUUGAUACUGGGAUUCGGUACUGCAUGUACAGGAUAGGUGGGAGACGAAGAAGGAUGGACGCCAGUCUGUCCGGAGUCGCUGUUGGGAUACCACCCCUGUAGUACUGGGUUUCUAACCAGUUGCCAUGAACUGGCAAUGGGACAAUGUCAGGCGGGGAGUUUGACUGGGGCGGUCGCCUCCGAAAGGGUAUCGGAGGCGCUCAAAGGUUCCCUCAGAAUGGUUGGAAACCAUUUGAAGAGUGCAAAGGCAGAAGGGAGCUUGACUGCGACACCGACGGGUGGAGCAGGUACGAAAGUAGGACUUAGUGAUCCGGUGGUAUAAAGUGGGAUUGCCAUCGCUCAACGGAUAAAAGCUACCCUGGGGAUAACAGGCUUAUCACUCCCAAGAGUUCACAUCGACGGAGUGGUUUGGCACCUCGAUGUCGGCUCAUCGCAUCCUGGGGCUGUAGUAGGUCCCAAGGGUUGGGCUGUUCGCCCAUUAAAGCGGUACGCGAGCUGGGUUCAGAACGUCGUGAGACAGUUCGGUCCCUAUCUGUCGUGGGCGCAGGAUAUUUGAUGGGAGCUGUCCCUAGUACGAGAGGACCGGGACGGACGUACCUCUGGCGCACCAGUUGUUCUGCCAAGAGCAUAGCUGGGCAACUACGUACGGAUCGGAUAAACGCUGAAAGCAUCUAAGCGUGAAGCCAUCUCUAAGAUAAGAUAUCCCAUAGCAUAAGCUAGUAAGACCCCUCAAAGACUAUGAGGUUGAUAGGCUGCGUGUGUAAGUACGGCGACGUAUUUAGCUUGGCAGUACUAAUAGGUCGAGGGCUUGACCAC
rnacentral:rRNA from 1 species